UAGGGAAUACUGGACAAUGGGGGAAACCCUGAUCCAGCAACGCCGCGUGAGUGACGAAGGCCUUCGGGUUGUAAAGCUCUGUCGCACAGGACGAAAAAAAUGACGGUACUGUGCAAGAAAGGACCGGCCAACUUCGUGCCAGCAGCCGCGGUAAGACGAGGGGUCCUAGCGUUGUUCGGAAUUACUGGGCGUAAAGCGCAUGUAGGUGGUUUGAAAAGUCAGGUGUGAAAGCCUCGGGCUCAACCCGAGAAGUGCAUUUGAUACUGUCAAACUUGAAUAUGGGAGAGGGUAGUAGAAUUCCUGGUGUAGUGGUGAAAUACGUAGAUAUCAGGAGGAAUACCGGUGGCGAAGGCGGCUACCUGGCCCAAUAUUGACACUGAGAUGCGAAGGCGUGGGGAUCAAACAGG
rnacentral:rRNA from 1 species